GAGAGCCGGAUGCGGGAGAUCUGCACGUCCGGUUCGAUGAGCAGGGAGUGGAAACGGACCGUCUGGCAAGCCCCAC
rnacentral:misc_RNA from 2 species